rnacentral:rRNA from 2 species
GGAGUGAAAGGCUAAUCAAAUUCCGUGAUAGCUGGUUCUCCCCGAAAUAUAUUGAGGUAUAGCCUCGUGUCUAGCGGACGGAGGUAGAGCACUGGAUGGGCUAGGGUCCUUACCGGGAUACCAAACCCAACCAAACUUCGAAUGCCGUCUUGCCUAAUCACGGGAGUCAGUCGGUGGGAGAUAAGUUCCAUCGUCGAGAGGGAAACAACCCAGAUCGCCAGCUAAGGUCCCUAAUAUAUGCUAAGUGGAAAAGGAUGUGGAAAUGCACAGACAACCAGGAGGUUGGCUUAGAAGCAGCCAUCCUUUAAAGAAAGCGUAACAGCUCACUGGUCGAGUGAGUCCGCGCCGAAAAUGUAACGGGGCUAAGUCCAUUACCGAAGCUGCGGGUUUGUUUGGAGCUUCGGCUCCAAAUGAGCGGUAGGGGAGCGUUCCAGUCGCCUGCGAAGCCCGACCGUAAGGACGGGUGGAGGUCCUGGAAGUGCUUAUGCGGACAUGAGUAGCGAUAAAAUAGGUGAGAAACCUAUUCGCCGUAAGUCUAAGGUUUCCUGGGUAAAGUUAAUCUUCCCAGGGUUAGUCGGUUCCUAAGCCGAGGCCGAAAGGCGUAGGCGAUGGAAAGCAGGUUAAUAUUCCUGCACCACCCAUGCUGCGUUAUCAGCGAAGGGGGGACGGAGAAGGGUAGCCGAGCCGGGUGUUGGACGUCCCGGUUCAAGCCUGUAGGCGGGUGCGCUAGGCAAAUCCGGCGGACCAUUCAAACGCCGAGAGGUGAUGACGAGUCCCGUAAGGGACACAAAGUGGCUGAUCCCAUGCUUCCAAGAAAAGCCUCGUAGCGAGUAGUAUAGGUGACCGUACCGCAAACCGACACAGGUAGACGGGUAGAGUAUACCAAGGCGCUUGAGAGAACUCUGGUUAAGGAACUCGGCAAAUUGACACCGUAACUUCGGGAGAAGGUGUGCCUGCUAUGGUGAAGUUCCUGCGGACGGAGCUGUGGCGGGUCGCAGUGAACAGGG